GGAAAACAACAAACAACUUCUGAGUUACUCUUAAACAGGUUCAUAACCAUCUCAAAAAUGAUUGAUUGUCAUGAUGCUUCAGAGAUCGCUAUGUAUUACACUACUAUUAUACAGACAACACAGUGAAAUUACAUUGAAAGAGAAGAAGAGAAGGCUCGACUCGAGCAUGUCGACCAUUUACACGCCACUUUCAUUUGUAAUUGCUCCAGUCAUUGAUU
rnacentral:misc_RNA from 1 species